GAUGAAGAACGUAGCGAAAUGCGAUAAGUAAUGUGAAUUGCAGAAUUCAGUGAAUCAUCGAAUCUUUGAACGCACAUUGCGCCCUUUGGUAUUCCGAAGGGCAUGCCUGUUCGAGCGUCAUUUCACCACUCAAGCCUGGCUUGGUAUUGGGCGCCGCGGUCGAUCCGCGCGCCUCAAAGUCUCCGGCUGAGCUGUCCGUCUCUAAGCGUUGUGAUUUCAUUAAUCGCUUCGGAGUGCGGGCGGCCGCGGCCGUUCAAUCUUUCACAAGGUUGACCUCGGAUCAGGUAGGGAUACCCGCUGAACUUAAGCAUAUCAAUAAGCGGAGGA
rnacentral:misc_RNA from 1 species